UAUAUAUAUAUAUAUAAUGGAAUUGAUGUGGAAUAAUAUACUUUGAGUUGUCGUGACAAAAUCGCACAUUUCGUAUGUUCUAUUGACAUGAACACAGAGGACCAGCAGCUGGCAGACUAAGAGCGCAAAAAUCUGCAUAAGUCGGGGUGGUCGAAGGGUCCCAGAACACAGGACUUUAACCCGGUGGAGCAAUGUUUGUGUCCUGGAAGUACUGCUUAAAGCUAUAGUGCGUAGUUUCUGUCCCCCCAUGAGGCACAUCCACAAGACACACCCCCAACCCUCCUCCACAUAGAUGCUAGUAGCCAAGGAGGACACGGAAGAUUAAAAAAAAAAUGCAAUGGACUCUUCAGAAGAGCUAAUUAUCUUCACUCAAUUUCCUGCGCACGAAAGUCGCCAGACGACACCAUUUUCUGAACAUAGCCAUACUGAGAAAUACAGAGAGAGUUUUGUGGAGCUGAUAGUCUUAAUUAGCUUUGUAUCAUAUCAUUUGGCACUAAAACUUUAAAGGGAUCUGUGUUUUUAACCAGUUGUUUUGGUGCCUAAACCUAACUGUCACAACUGUCAUUGUGACCAUCACCUAGUGGUGACUGGUUGCUGUUUAACAGUCACCUUUUGGUGUCUGAACUUAACUGUCACAACCACCUGUCACCUACGGUUGACCUGUCGCUGUAAUUUCAUAAGAAAUCACAGGAACCCGUUGAUACGUUGAAUUGUUUGGAAUUGGUGGGACUGUGCAAUUGGUGAGUUUUAGUUCCUUUGAAUUGUCUCUUUGAGCAGCAAUCCCUCCAGUCUAAGUUUUAAAAUGGCGAAUAAUAUAAGUUUUGAUAAGAAUGACUUUAAAGUAACCUAUAUUAUCAUUUAAUGUUACACUGUAACAAUGAGUCUACUAUAAGUACUAGCAAUAUGUUAGCUGUUAGUUGAUGUUAGCUACUGCAGAUGAGGCAUUUACCUAGCUAACAUGCUAGUCUAAAAAUUGAUCAGAGUGCUAAAUCCAUUGAACUAUAUUUUUCCAGCUAUCUGCCAGAAGUGAACAAUAUAUCUUCUUUCCCUCGUUGCCCAAGUACUGAAGGCCUCUUACAUGGCCGACAGUGGGAAUGUCACUUUAUGAAAGAAAAAAAAAGCCAAACUUAGACUUAAGUAACAGAACUCUUUUGCAAAUUUUAAAGCCAUCUCCUUUUUUCUGGACCUAUCCUCAUGCCACCAAACCAAACACGUUGCUGCUGUCAAAUAAAAACUCUUGAAAGGAGUACAUUACCCUUGAUAUAGUUUGGAUUAUUGUGAAACCCUCUAAAAAUCCAGAUCUUUAUAUAUGUUUUAGAGUGUAGUUCUCAGAUGCUGUGUUUUUAUCUGACAGCACAUAUGUGUCUGAACAGAAUUAAACGUACUGUAUGUGCUACAAUACUUGAACCACUGAUCUACACAGGGUAAAACAACAUACAGGACGGUUGACCAAAGCUUCAUUCAUCUACAUCAGGAGAACAACUCUGGGACAAGAGCAUAUCUCUGAUCCAUCUUCUUUUCAGUUCUUCCACAAAAUGACUCAAGCACUCCGCUAUAGUCAUUUAAAUACCCCGUCAUUGAACGGUUUGUCUUUAUGCUUGAUGAAUAGUGAAAUUGAGGCAACGUUACUUCCGUGUACAGGCACUCAUUUACACAUUCUGUUCAAUUUGAAAGAAUGACUAAAACGGUCUAAGGAUGUGGACCACUGUAUUGAUGUUUGACUGCUAUUCACUGGCUUAAUUUGUCUUUUGAUGAAGAUGUGUGAAGAUGACUUUAGUGAUGUUGAAAUAGUAAUGAGGCUUAGUUAGCGAAGUAUGAAAAAAAAAAAAGUGCUGCAGUACCAAGAAGGCCCACUUGGUCUCUGGUGCUUCUGUUACUUAGUUCCGCUUCUUGUUUUCUGCUUUACCACUUGUUGGGGUAAAAGAUGAAAAGACUUGGGCAAUGCAGAGGAAAUGCUUUGAAGGCUGUGGUACCAUAGGGUUCAUUUUUCCAUUCUGUUGCAUCUGUGGCAUUCGACUUCCACAUAAAAAAAGUACAGAAGAAAAGACCGUAAUGAAGGAUGUGGAGUGUGAGAAGGAAAGAGGUGGAGGGAGAGAUUGACCAAACAGAACUGUUCACUGUGCCUUUCCCAUACUGAAAAUGAUGUAUUUUUCAUUCACAUCAAUAUAUUUAAAUAUAAAUUUUGACAACAAUCAUUUAAGAUGGAUUUGGAACUUAUAAAAUAUUAAUAUAUGCAAUAUUUUGUGGAAUAUGCUCAUUGGCUUUCUUUCCCAGACUGAGAUGAGAAGAUUAAUACCAAUCUCAUGUCAGAACGUUUAGCCAAGCUAGCGUGAAAAAGGAAAGAGCUAGCCUGGUUCAGUCCAUACAGGGAAAACAUAUGUCAACCAACGCCUCUAAAGCUGGCUAAGUGAACAAAUUGUAUCUUAUUUAUUUAACCUUUACAUAAUGUAAAAUCAUGUUGUGGUAGAAAGAGUGGGCCUAACUAAAACCCAUUACUUCAUUUUUUUUAACUUUGCUUCACCACUGCUGUCAGUCUUUGUGCUAAGCUGAGCUAAGCUAACUACGUCCUGAUUCCAGCUCUGCUCUUAACAUACAGACAUAAGAUUGAUAUUGUAUUAUCUCACUCUCUAAAACAAAAAAAGUAACAUUUUUUUUUUUAAAUAACAAAUAGUGCACCUACAAGCACCACUUAGCUAGCUAAUUUAUACCUUAUAUAGUAUUACAUUAUAUCACAUUUGUUUUACUUUUGAACAAAGCAUAACGCCUGCAUCUAGUCUCUUUCGGGUUAGCUAACCGUAUCUUAGCUCUAGCUUAAAAUUUAGCGGCAGACAUGGGAGUGGUAUCAGUUUUCUCAUCUGUCUCACCCUCUGUUUAAAAAUUAAAAAUAAAUAGAUAAAUCAGGAACCCACAAACAUUUUGGGGUAUUCUAAAAGCCAUUUCUGAAUCUAUUUUAAGUGUUUGGAAACUGACUUAUUUUUCAGUAUGGGCUGCACCCUCCCACGUGACACCUCCUCAGACCCAUAUAGACACACAAACGCACAACCUUAAUACUUCCCCUCGUGUGCCAUUUUGAUCACCCUCCAAACUGCAACACUCAAGUUACAGCAAGUUUCUCAUCCCUCCAGUUCUCUCCAGCUUCCUCACCUGCUGAGUUCACUUUGAUUAAAGUACAUUUCUGAGAAGGCGCAUAGGACAUAAAAAAAAAAACCUUCACACAGAUUAAAGAAGAGAGAGGUAGAAAGGGAAAAAAAUAUCUUAAAGAGUUUUAAUACUUUAUGAAUUCUGAUACCUUUUUAAGAGUUUCAGACUUGAAGCUGCUGUGACAGGUUUUGGCUGUUUCACGCCCGUGUAAAUAUCCUGCUCUUUCCUAUUUUGCAGAUUUAUUACGUGUAAAUAGACACGCAUCAAGGAGAGAUUAAACAUGUUUUUUGCUAAA